CCAAAAUCUCGCAAUCCAAGCCACCCGAGCCAUCCACGAGAAUCAAUCAUCCAACAUCCUCGCCCCAAAUCGACCCCAAAUCGACGCCAACCUCUCAUCUACGCAGAUGAUGGUGUUCCUUAAAGACCAUGCCACCCCAAUCCCCAUCGCACCCAAGACAGAUAUCCGCUGCCACCCCAAUCCCAAUCCUCGGCGGCGGCGCCCUCCAAUCCAACAAGUGGCUCUCCAAUCCCCAUCCUGGUUGGAGAAAAAAAUCAUGGUUAAAGUAGUGUUCAUUUCAAUCUCCAUGUUGUCUGCAAAGGCCAAAAGUUAUCUAAUGCAGCAGCCUUAUACAAGUCAUUCAAAGCUUAUGAAGAAGACUCCAGGAGCAGCUUUAAGAAACAAGAAAGAAAUUAUCAGUGUCGUGUGCCGGUCAUCAGAAAACUUUUCUUGACCACCAACUCCAAGCGAUCUAACAGAUUAUUGUAUAAUUGCGCUGUUGGAAUUGUGUCUAUGGUCUGUAGCCUGUUCGGCGUGACUCAAAAUAUAAACCUUUGAAUA
rnacentral:misc_RNA from 1 species